GUGCUCACUUUGACAGUGCAUAUACUAAAUUAGAAUGAUACAAAGAUUAGCAUGGUCCCUGCACAAAGAUGACACUCAGAUUCUUGAAGUGUUUUUUUUUUAU
rnacentral:snRNA from 1 species